UCUCUAUUUUGGGAUCACACUCAAUCCAUUCUUGUGAGUAUCUUGAUUACCAGUUUUUUUAACUCUCCAUCAGAUAGGUUGGCUAUCUCCUCAUUGCUUAGCUCUUUCUCUGCAGUUUUGCUCUGUUCUUUCAUUUGGGCCAUAUUUCUUUGUCUUAGAGUAUGUAUUAAAUUGU